UAAUAAGGUAGUUAAACUUUCUAGUUUAGUGAAAUUGUGAACUUAAACUAUUGUUAUUUUAAUACUGUUGGAGAUCUACAGUUAAGGUUCGAUGAUGCAGGAGAUCCCAGAAGAGUCAGCGAGUUAAAAUCAACCAAGGUUUWUUAAACAGUACAAAAUAUAUCUUGGAGAUCCAUUUCAAGCACCAAACAUGCAUACAAAGUUACCCAAAGGCAAUCCCAAUGAGAUCUUUAGUCUCUUUGUCUUUGUCUCCUACUAUAUAGCCCCCCCAAUGACUGUGUCACUGUGCUCUGUGGCCUGACCCCCACCCUGCUGAGUGCUGGCUCAGCCUUUGGUUUUAAGGCCAGUAGUCAUACAAAGUUUUAUUGAAGCAAACAGCUUUGAUUGAUCUGUAAUCCCAGUUCCUGUCCCGGGACAAAGUUAUAAAAUUAACAACCAUUUGGUUCAUGUCCUCUUUACUCYACAUUUUGGUUCCUGUCUCCUAGCUUGGUUAGGGCUUCCAGGAUGUUGUUAUCACUUUCCUAUGCAAAUCAAGCUUCCAAAGGCCAGACUCGCACUGGGAGAGAAAAAGUAGAACAGAGCAAGGCCCUACUUGUAGUUUCCUUGUAACUCAUCAAAGUAAAUUCAUGAUUAUACAUCAAUGUAACAUUCAACAAAAAUUACUUUACAAUAUUUCCACAAUACCUAAGCCUUAUCAGGCAGGUAUUUAUAAACUGCAGUUAAAUUCAAUAACUUAGAAUAUGCUUCCAUAUGUGGCUCAGUUGUCAGAUUAAAAGUACUCUAAGCAGUGUUCACAAUCCGGUCUAAAUACUUUACCCUGCAGAGGUGUGAUGACUGCUGAAGAUGUCAGCACUGCAUCGACUGAUGGCACGCCAGUCCACAACAGAAGAUGGAAGCUUAAAAUGAAGAAAAGUUGCAUUAUUGUUAAUCCCUCAACUCAGAUGUGCAGCUGUUUAUUGAUGCAUCUUUCAUUACUUUUUGGAGGACAUUGUUUUGAAGAGCAUUGGGACAGAGAACACAGGUUUUGUUGGGGCUCAGAUUGUGGCCUGGUACAAAAGGAGCAGCAUCACACUCUGUUUGGGUCCCAGUCCGACAGGACAGAACAGAGUGAACAASAAGGACGCUCAGGA